AGCGCAGGCGGACCGGCAAGUUGGAAGUGAAAACUAUGGGCUCAACCCAUAAAUUGCUUUCAAAACUGCUGGCCUUGAGUAGUGCAGAGGUAGGUGGAAUUCCCGGUGUAGCGGUGGAAUGCGUAGAUAUCGGGAGGAACACCAGUGGCGAAGGCAGGUUUCCAGUACAUAACUGACGCUCAGGUGCGAAGGUGCGGGGAUCAAACA
rnacentral:rRNA from 1 species